UACGAAGGGGGCUAGCGUUGUUCGGAAUCAUUGGGCGUAAAGCGCACGUAGGCGGGUUUGUAAGUCGAUUGUGGAAUCCCCGGGCUUAACCUGGGAAUUGCAGUCGAAACUGCAAGUCUUGAAUGCUCGAGAGGAUGGUGGAAUUCCUGGUGUAGAAGUGAAAUUCGUAGAUAUCAGGAGGAACACCGGAGGCGAAAGCGGCCAUCUGGCGAGACAUUGACGCUAAGGUGCGAAAGCGCGGGGAGCAAACAGG
rnacentral:rRNA from 1 species